rnacentral:rRNA from 1 species
UACGGAGGGUGCAAGCGUUAUCCGGAUUCACUGGGUUUAAAGGGUGCGUAGGUGGGGUGGUAAGUCAGUGGUGAAAUCUCCGAGCUUAACUUGGAAACUGCCAUUGAUACUAUCAUUCUUGAAUAUUGUGGAGGUCAGCGGAAUAUGUCAUGUAGCGGUGAAAUGCUUAGAUAUGACAUAGAACACCAAUUGCGAAGGCAGCUGGCUACACAUAUAUUGACACUGAGGCACGAAAGCGUGGGGAGCAAACAGG